AUGGAAAGCCCAGAGAUAAAUCCACACACAUAUGGACACCUUAUCUUUGACAAAGGAGGCAAGAAUAUACAAUGGAGUAAAGACAAUCUCUUUAACAAGUGGUGCUGGGAAAACUGGUCAACCACUUGUAAAAGAAUGAAACUAGAUCACUUCCUAACACCGCACACAAAAAUAAACUCAAAAUGGAUUAAAGAUCUAAAUGUAAGAUCAGAAACUAUAAAACUCCUAGAGGAGAACAUAGGCAAAACACUCUCAGACAUAAAUCACAGCAGGAUCCUCUAUGAUCCACCUCCCAGAAUACUGGAAAUAAAAGCAAAAAUAAACAAAUGGGAUCUAAUUAAAAUUAAAAGCUUCUGCACAACAAAGGAAACUAUAAGCAAGGUGAAAAGACAGCCUUCUGAAUGGGAGAAAAUAAUAGCAAAUGAAGCAACUGACAAACAACUAAUCUCAAAAAUAUACAAGCAACUUAUGCAGCUCAAUUCCAGAAAAAUAAACGACCCAAUCAAAAAAUGGGCCAAAGAACUAAAUAGACAUUUCUCCAAAGAAGACAUACGGAUGGCUAACAAACACAUGAAAAGAUGCUCAACAUCACUCAUUAUUAGAGAAAUGCAAAUCAAAACCACAAUGAGGUACCACUUCACACCAGUCAGAAUGGCUGCGAUCCAAAAAUCUGCAAGCAAUAAAUGCUGGAGAGGGUGUGGAGAAAAGGGAACCCUCCUACACUGUUGGUGGGAAUGCAAACUAGUACAGCCACUAUGGAGAACAGUGUGGAGAUUCCUUAAAAAAAACUGGAAAUAGAACUGCCUUAUGACCCAGCAAUUCCACUGCUGGGCAUACACACCGAG
rnacentral:lncRNA from 1 species